GCCAGUGUGGUGUAGUGGUUUGAGCACUAGACUGUGACUCUGGAGAUAAAGGUUUGAUUCCCCACUUGGCCA
rnacentral:tRNA from 1 species